AUGCUACUGAGGUGCUUACAGGUGCUGCUGGGGCUCCAGCUCUGCUUUCUUGAUGUCACAGUUCAGAGUGGAUGUGGCUGGGUUGAGCUUCAGGUGGGACUGAGGGGUUUCCAGCUACAAAAGGAGAGAGAAAAUCGAAGCAGCUGUUGUGGUUUCAUCAUUUACAUCUACACUCUGCCCAGGUUGAGAAAUUUGGCUCAUGAGGAUACGAUGGGUGCUCCAGAAAGGCAUGAGGUCCCAGCACAGCACUCCCAGCCUCGCUGCAGCCCCAGCAGAGGCAAUAUCAGUGAAUGGGGGAGAAGAAGGAAUGGUCCUUGCAAGACAUGCGAGAGCAGAGCUGUCCUUCUGCAACAAGGUGG
rnacentral:lncRNA from 1 species